UUCUCGCGAGCCUGUGGCUCUCAGGGGCGUCCGAGCGCCGAGACUGGGGGAAGCGGUCGGCCUUCUCAGGACGGGCCCCGCAGGGAUGUUCCUGUCUUUUCCUUCUCCCGCGUCCGGCAUCAGCCUUUGUCCCCUCGCCGCCCUCUCCGAAGCCGCAGGCGCCCUCUUCCCGGCGCUCCCGCCAGGGUAAUGUCACCAGGAGCCACCCACAGUGAACCCCAUGAAGGCAAAUCCCCACGUCCAAGUCUGUUUCCUGGGACACCUGACUCCACACAAUGGCUCUUCUUCGCAAAAUUGUAAUUUUUUGAGUCAACAAUACAUUUACAUGGACAGGGUCCUCCUAUACCAGACAUCCAUUUCCCCAAUGUUGUCAGGGAAGUGACCGUGUUUUAGCCUCUCGAGUAGAAAGCCUUCAUGAUUACAUGAUUACUACACAGAU